UGGUUCUUUCUAGCUCAAUUCUCGUGGUUACAUACGAGUUUCUGAUAACUCACUUCCGUAGCAUUCUUUGCUCACCAUGGGUAAAGUCCCCAGGCCGAGGACAGAAAGUGUCAGGAUCUAAUGCUUUGGGUCCCUAUUGCAUGGUUACCACUUAUGACCGUUGCAAAAAUGCCAGAUCACAAUAUAGUUAUGUCUGAGAGUGUCUGGGUCGCAGAAUGGCAGAGCCGUGGGGGUUACCCGCUGGUUUUAGCUGUCGGCUUCUAGGCCCGGUCACAACACAAUGGGGCUUACUAAGAGGGAACU
rnacentral:RNase_MRP_RNA from 2 species